rnacentral:rRNA from 1 species
AUUGAACGCUGGCGGCAUGCUUUACACAUGCAAGUCGAACGGUAACAGGCCGCAAGGUGCUGACGAGUGGCGAACGGGUGAGUAAUGCAUCGGAACGUGCCCAGUCGUGGGGGAUAACUACUCGAAAGAGUAGCUAAUACCGCAUACGAUCUAUGGAUGAAAGCGGGGGACCGUAAGGCCUCGCGCGAUUGGAGCGGCCGAUGUCAGAUUAGGUAGUUGGUGGGGUAAAGGCUCACCAAGCCAACGAUCUGUAGCUGGUCUGAGAGGACAGCCAGCCACACUGGGACUGAGACACGGCCCAGACUCCUACGGGAGGCAGCAGUGGGGAAUUUUGGACAAUGGGCGCAAGCCUGAUCCAGCAAUGCCGCGUGCAGGAAGAAGGCCUUCGGGUUGUAAACUGCUUUUGUACGGAACGAAACGGCUCUGGUUAAUACCCGGGGCUAAUGACGGUACCGUAAGAAUAAGCACCGGCUAACUACGUG